rnacentral:lncRNA from 1 species
AUGUGGUUUUUUAAUUGAACUUGCCAGGAUGCAAUUAAUUCAUAGUAAAUAUGAUGAAAGUAGUAACUGACAAAUGUAAAUACUAAGUUGAAAGAUGACUUUCUAUACUUUUAUGUUAUGUGUCUGUACAUAUAUUUAAUCAGUUUUCAAAUCAGUAAAAUAAUUGUCAAUAAUAUGGAGCAAAAACAUGAAAAUAUUUAAAAAAUUACUCUAUGUGACAUGGCAUAUUUAAAGAUUUCUAUAAGGAUUUGAGAUUAAAUGGACAAAGGAUUUGUGUAGUAAAACACUGAUGAAGCCAGAAAUUAAAUCUGAAUUUUCUCUGCUACGUGGUGUGAUGAUUAUUAUUUUAAUUUUUUUUCUUAUAAGGUUAUUUUUCUUUUAAGAAAAAGCCACGUCUACUAAAGAUUUAGAGAAACUAAACCAGAAUAGCAGUAAUAACUGGUUCUAAAUGAAAGGGUAGACUUUAUGCUGUGAAAAAAGAACUAUUGUUAAUAAGUUCUUCUUAGCACAGAAGGAUAUGAUUGUCCUCGGUAAUAUCAUCUUGAAUAAAUAGGGCAGCGUAGCCUAGUUCUGCUGUGUGCGUAGAUGGUGAGCACGGCAGGAGAUGGCGGGUCAGGGCCCUGAGAAGGAGUAGCAGGAGGGAGAGAGCGAGGUCAGAGAGACGUUGGGGGAAUAGCACAGAUAGUAAGUGACCACUGCCGGAGGCUUCAGAAGAGAAGCACGGGCUCUAAACGUGUCAGGACUGCCAUGAAGGAUGCGACGUGUGUUUUCAUUACACGUAUAAAGAUUUUCCUGUUGGUGGGUGUGAGAGAGAGGGCGAGAAAAAAGGGAGUGAGAAGGGGUGUCUCCAGAGAUGGCAGAUUGUGUUAUUUGUUUUUAAAUUAGAGAUGUGGAUAUAUUUGCAAAGAUUAUAUCAUGACUUUGACUUCUUGUACUUGAGCAGCUGACAAAAAGUUAAUGUGGUUAACUGAGAUAUGUCCCUUGUCCUGUCUCCCGCCUGUCCUGUCUCCUCCUCUUUCCCUUAUGUUCUCUGAGACUCACUUGGGGCGCCAUCGGUCCUAGAAGCUCCCUCCAGUGUCCUCUUCUUUUCCCACUACCCCACACUUGCUGGGUUAAUUGUCCUCCUCCAAGCCCCUCUGUCUCCAGAAUGUCCUGGGAAUCACUCUGUCACGGGGCUUCUAGCACAUGCUAUAUAAACGUCUGUUUAUGUGUUUGUUUUCCCUACUAGACUGUGAACUCCUUAGUGGGCAGGCUCAAGUCUUACUCGCCUAUGUAUCCCCACAUCUAAUAAAUGUUAGUUGAAUGAACAAAUGAAUGAUUUUCUCACGCCCUGUAGUAGACACACUCGCCACAGUCUGUCAGUGUGGCGGUGAAGUCACUGAGCUUUGAUGGUUGGGAAAUCCAUGACUAGAGAGAGAGACCACGUGAGCCUUACAGAAUCUGGGGUGGACUGAGAAGUGAGUAAGGCAGAAUUCCUGAUCUUGAGGUGCUCCACCCAGUAGGUUUCAGUGAUGGCUUGGGAGCAAGAAACAAGUAAGUGCUUGCUGUGUGAUAAGGUUGCAGCAGAGGCCUCACGUACAAACUGCUCCGAAAGCAUGUGAUUAAUUCGGCCUGGGGAGGCCUGGGAAGACUGGCCCUUGAGUCUUUGAGAGUGUGUAGUUGUGUGCCACGUGGAGAGGAACAAGGAGCACGCACCAAGCUGGAGAGGUUUGAGGAUCAGUUUUUGAGAAGUCCAGAAGGAGCUUGAGGGUCAUGGGAGUUGGGGAAUGGGAAAGUGGCGAGAAAUGAGGUCGGAAGGAGCUGUGUGUGUAAUGCCAAUAGCUGGCCUCUGCCCUGUCGGCUGCAGAGAGCCACUGGAGGUUUUAAAAUCAGAGGAGUUGUGUCGAUUGACAUUUAGAAAAAUGCCUGGCAGCAGUGUGAAAAUUGGACUGAAGGGGAAAAACUAAAGAGAAUAGACUAGUCAGGAGACUCAUGCAGCCGUGCACGUGAGUGAGAGGAGGGCCUGUGUGAAGGCGUUGGCCGUGGAGACGGUGGAGGAGAAGACACAGUAUGGAGGAUGAUUUGGGGAGGUAGAAUGUGUGAGACUUACUGACUGGAGUUACAUAUAGCAGUUGUGAGAGAGAUGGAAGAAUGGAAAAUGGUUGUAGAUUUUUUAAUCCUCUAACGAUCAGAUGGGAGUGUAGAAAGGAAGCAUUGGUUUUGGUUUUGCACAUUUGAGAAUGGGGCGUCUAAAUGGUGAUAACUAGCAGACAGUUGGAAAUGUGACUCUGAACUUUAGGAGAGAAAGAUACAGAGUGUGGAGUCACACGUGUGUGGAUGGGUGAGAAUCCCAAAGAAGAGCUAGCUGAGCAGAAUGAGGGAGGGCCAAGCAAAGGACUCCAGGAUGCUCCAGCAUCUCAAGGGCAUACUCAGGAAAAGACCAUCGAAGAACAAUUCAGAAAGGGAAGUAAUCAAUAUCAGAUGCCGCUAAGAGGUCCAGUUGAGAUGAGAAGUAAAAUGAGGCCAUUGGAGUUGACCAAGUCAGAGGCCCUCAGUGAGGAAAAUUAUAAUACUGGUGUCAGAAACUUCAUUUUAAUGACUAAGUGCAGUGGGCGGUAACGAGUAGGGACAAUGAGUAUAGACUACCUUUUUUUAAAAAAGCAAUCUAAAAUAGGAGGUAGAUGACAGAUAAAGGGUAGAAGGGAGGUCUUUAUUUUAGUAUAAGGUAAGUAUAAGUAUCCUGCGAUGGUCUGAAGGUGUCUGUGCGUGCUUGGAACGGCGCCUUGUCGGAAGUGAGAAAGGGAGCUGCCCGGGGAAGAGUCGUGCAGCAUUGCCCAGCAGCAAGGACCUGGCUGAAGGGAAAGCAAGUUAUUCUACCAAAUCGUGGAGUUACCUGGUUUUUCUCCCAUCAUGCUCUCUUUAGUCUGGAAGCUGGAACAAGUAAACUACAACGUAAUUAUUUAUUUUACUGAAUAAUUCUCUUUUCAAAACAGUUUAUUACAAGGUUCUUUUAAAUAACAAGUACUUUUCGGUAUUCUUUUGGUGUGUGAUAAAAUAUACGUAACAAAAACUUAAGCAUUUUAACCAUUGUUAAGUAUACAGUUCUCUGGCAUUAAGUAUAUUCACAUUGUUGUGCAGCCGUCACCCCAUCCGUCUCCAGAACCUUUUCAUCUUCCCCAAAUGUGUCCCCGUUAAACACCAACUCCCCAUUUCCUCGCCCCCCAGUCCCUGGCAACCACCGUUCUACUUUCUCUCUCUGAAUUUGACUACUCUAGGGACCUGAUAUAAAAGGAAUCACACAAUAUUUGUCCUUUUGUGACUGGCUUAUUUCGCUUAACAUCGUGUCUUCAAGCUUCAUCCAUGUUGUAGCAUGUGUCAAAAUUUCCUUCAGUGUUCUUAAAAUAUGAUCUGAACACACUGUUUUCUUCAAGAACAUAACUAUUCCAUGACCAUGAUAAAUUCUCAAAACCUGCCACAUGAGUUUUAUACAGGGAAGGGAGGUAGAAGAAAGGAAUUCACAUUUAUUACACACGUUUACCAUGUAUCAGGUGUUGCCUUGGUUGCAAAUGCUUCAUUGACUCAUUCCGUCUUCACAACAACUCUGUGAGGUGGAUAUUACUGUUAUUCUCAUUCUACAGUGGAAGAAACUGAAUUUCAGAGAGCCUGCGUAGCUUCUGCAAGGUAACUGAGCCAGGAUUCAAAUCCUGGUCAUCCCAAUACCAGAUUCUAUCUUCUUUUUACAACAAUUCAGUUCUCUAUGUAGUCACAGCUCUAAUUGUAUUGUUCUAAAGGAGUCAAAUCUCUUUGCUUUGAACUUAAUGAAGAUGUGCUUUUUCUUUUUCUUUUUUUUUUUUUUUUGGUGAGGAAGAUUGGCCCUGAGCUAACAUCUAUUGCCAAUCCUCCUCUUUUUGUUUGAGAAAGUUUGGCCCUGCGGUAACAUCUCUGCUGGUCUUCCUGUAUGUUGUAUGUGGGAUGCUGCCACAGCAUGGCUUGAUGAGUGGUGUAGGUCCAUGUCUAGGAUCCAAACCCAUGAACCUGGGCCACCAAAGCAGAGCAUGUGGAACUUAACUAUUACGCCACCAGGCUGACCCCACGAUGUGCUUUUUGAGGUUUUCCUGGUGUUCAGCAAAUGUCCUAGGCUCUUCAUGACAUUAAACUGUUUCCAUUUUGUAUUUAAGCUUUUAAGAACAGAAUCAAACACUUGCCAAAAGUGGAGAAUUACUUGUGUAAUUAAUUGAAUUCACAUAGUUAUUUAAUGUUGUCUAGUAUGUUUGCCCAACUUAGAAUUUGUCUGAGGUAGUUAACAGAACUAACUUGAUAGAUUUAUAGUGUAGAUUUCUGAAGGAAAAUACUGCUUUUGACUGAAUUUAUAGUUUCAAUCCUAAUUGCAAAUAGGAAAGGAGAAAAUUUUUUUAAAUGAAAAAUAUAUAGCCUUUUUUUGUGUGUGUGAGGAGGAUUUAGCCCUGAGCUAACAACUGUUGCCAAUCUUCCUCUUUUUGCUUGAGAAAAAUUGUUGCUGAGUCAACAUCUGUGCCAGUCUUCCUCUAUUUUCGUGGGAUGUUACCACGGUGUGGCCUGACGAGUGGUGCUAGGUCCGUGCCCGGGAUCUGAACCAGCAAACCCUGGACUGUCGAAGCAGAGUGCAAGAACUUAACCACUAUACCACUGGGCCAGCCUCAAUAUAUAACCAUUUUUAAGGAUCUCACAAAACAAAAUAUUAUUUGAGUAAUCUGAUGACAGUAUUUGAAGCCAAAAGCCACAGUCUGAUAUCUGCCUUGCUGAAGAUUUCUUUUUUUAACCUAUAUAUGUUUCUCUGAAUUCUUGAAUCUUCUAUCUUGUGCCAGUGAAAGACAUUUUUCUUUAAAGAUCUAAGCAAUGACAAUGACAUAUCAAGAUUGUUUGAGUGAAUGAUCCUGAUAAGUAAAAAAGGUCAUUUACAGAACGGUUAUUUCUAGAACUCGGGACUUUCGUGGAAGUAAGCCAGUGGGCUUUGUUGUUGUUCGAAGUCUGUGCUUUAUCUCUGCAUCUUUGUUCACUGUAUUGCUUUGGAAGCUUUGAGAGCACAACUGAGUUUUUGUUUCAUCUGCAUUCUGUGACCAGUCAUUAGAGAGACCCAAAGUCUGAGGUUUGUGUUGACUGUAGAAAGUCAUUCUCUGAAGCCCGUGUUUGGAAUGAGUUUAAAGAAAGAAGAGUUCCAAAAGCCAGGUUCAGUCUUAGAGUGAAGGCUUGGAAAAGGAUAAGUGGUUCUCUGGGACCAUUAGAGUGGAUCAGAUUACCUUCUAAAGUAGUGAUGAAAACAAAGAAUAAAUCAGAGGGACUGUAAAACAUCCUAAAUUCUACCUUCAGGCAAAUAAUACCAAGUCAUCGAGGAUGGAUAAUUGUUUGCUCUCCAUUUUAUUUUUUCUUGAAGAUUCACAGAAUUAGAAAUUUUACAACCCCCAUUAGUGGUACAUUUAAGUGUUUUAGUAUCCAGGUGAUGAGGAAGCAAGGAAUCUCUUCUGCUUUAUUUCAAGGCUCUUCUCUUGUUCUGACGACAUCAAUUUAAAAGGAACUAAUUAACGUCUGUGGUGGAAAAUGCCUCAUCGUAAAAGUCAUGGACAACGGGGCCAUUUACCCACCGAGAGUCAGGGACUUAAGCUGUAAUCAAAUGUUUAUGCCUUGUUGCUUCACGCAGAUAUAAAGGAAGGAACAAUGCUCAAGAUACAGCAAAGGUAUUUUUAAAGUGUGAAUUUGUGUGGCUCUUGCUGAGUCAGGUGAAGGAGUGAUGCUGGGGAGAGUUGUAGACAAAGCUGACUUUUAGCAAGGAAUGGAAACCCAUGGUAAACAGAACAGGAGUGGGGCUGAGAAUAUGCUCAAGGAGAAAGAAGUCUCUGGAAGGGACACAUCCAAGUGGUUAGGUGGUGGGUCCAGUGGCUGAAGAGGAAGCUUUUGACCUGAAAGGGCUAGAUCUGGGGCCCAGAGAGAAAAUCUGGGGCUAGAUCUGGGGCGCUCUUUACCUCAGGAUUUCAGAGAAGGGCUCAGCCUGCCUCUGGGAGUGGAGGUAGAGUGGCCUACCAGAAAGGACUAACUCCAAGAAAUUGCCAGCCCCGAGGGAAAAUAAAAUCACAGAAGGUCUAGGAGAGUCCUUUUAUUGUUCUAGACCUACCAUUGAAAUUGCAUACUGUGAGACUAUUGUGCUGAAAACUUAGUCCAAAUGGAUAGCAUUUGUAUUCCCAAGGUGCAUGGUGGUCAAUGUUUUGGUGUAUUUGAACAAACUGUCGGUCUGUUAUUCACUAAGGAGUACCAAGUAGGGGAUUCUUGUUAGAUGAGAGAGAGGAUACGAUAUCUUCGCAGAACAAAAUCCUAAUGCAUUUAAUUCAGGUAGGGUGACAAAACACAAGUGUUAAAUCUCUGUGGGGGCUGGCAGAAAAGUACCUUUUUUUAUGGCAUUUGAUCCUUAAAGUUACUCUGUAGUUGUCAUCUCUGAGAACUUGGCUGGAUUUGGCCCUCUUAACUGCAAUAGGUCCGGGAGGGGCAGAAACUUGCAGUUUAUUCAUUCCUUUGGGAAGGAAGCCCAGUAGAGUCAAUAGGAUGUAGUAUGUGAGAUAUGAUAAUAUUACAUGAAUCCUCAAGACUGGGAUACGUUUGAGGUAUAGAGGUCACAUGACUCUAGUUUAAUUAUCUUCUAGUUUUUGUCUUCAUUGUUUGCACUGUUAAGUUUUAUGAAACUUAGUAGGGUGUUCUCUAGUUUAAACUGGAGCAGGAAUUACUCUUUGAUAUCAGGCAAUACCUCAGCUAACUUUCUCACUGAGAAUGUACUUAGUCAACAGGUAACUGUUGACACACAGCAAAUACGAAUGCAUUGCGUGCUUUGGGCGGAUACUAAGAUGAGUCAGAGGCAGACAUUAUUCUCAAGUUGCCUCAUCUAAUGGGAGAGGAGGGUGGACUGUCGAAUGAGGGUGGGGAGCUUGGGUUCUGCGUCAGACCCGGCCCGGGUUCAGAUCCUGGUGUCAACAGGUACCGGAUAUAUGAUCUUGGAAAAAGCUGCUCAAUCCCUCUAUGCCUGCCAAGGUUAUACAUCUAGUACAUGUCAACACCGAAUCUGUAUAAUAGUGCUUAUCUCAUAGGAGUGCUGGAGGCCUAAAUAGGGAAUGUUUCUAAUAAUAAGGGAUUCAGAAUAUAGGAAGUCCUCUGUAAACAUUGGCAACACACAGAUGAAUAGAAUGCUGCCCUCUGGGCCCAGGGCCUUAUGACUUUGCUGGAAGUUCAGUGUUAGACAUACAGCUUGGGAAGUUAUCUGUAGGGAGGCAGUCACCCAAACUUAUGGUGCUGCUAGAGGCAAACACAAGAAAUAACAGGGCAGAACACAAUCUUUAAAUCAAGAACUUCACUUUUAAUGCCACCUAAUUCGUAAGACAUAUUAUGGGGGACUAUUUCUAAAUAAAUCAAAUAUUUGUAAAUAAUUAAAAAUAAGUGGAAAACAAACAAGAGCUAGAAGAGUUUAUUGUUAGAUUUUAUUCUCUGUCUCCAUCUGCGUCCAUAAUGAGUCACAAGUUUUCCAUUUACUGGAAACCGUUUGGAUCUAGGAGGAAAAUAAAUUUUUUGUUAUGGAAGGAAUAGGGUUGUUUAAGAAAUGUGAUGUGGAGGAAUGAGCAUGGACAUUUAAAAUCGGGCAGGCAAGGGUUUGUCCUUUUGGCCUUAUUUUUAUGAUCUGGCAGGCAGUGUUCCAAGAACCUUACGUGUACUGAAUCAUUAAAUAUUCACAAAAACCCGAUGAAGCAUUUUACAAAUGAGGAACCAAGGCUCCCAGAAGAGUGAAGUGUUAGGCUGCUUACCUCCCUGCUUUUUCAGUUCUUCGUGUGUUCGUCUGUUUCUCCAAUGUGCAGGGACCCUUUGCUGGAAAUGUCUUACUCUCUGUGUUUACCCAACCCCCAGUACAGGUUCAUACUUCUCCAGUUCACCUGGUGAAUAUUUGAUUUUUUUUUCCUUCCGUGAAAUGAAAACACAACAGCAACAAUAAGAACAAUAGAAAAUUAAAUUGUUUAGAUAAAAUAUCACUGUUUUCUCUGUAUUUUCUUUGAGUAAAAAAAAAUAUAUAAUUUUACAAAGUAUUAUAGAGCCAGAAACCCUAGGUUCUAGUCUCUACUUGCCCACUUUUUAAGUUAAUUUUAAUUUCACUUAUACGUGUACAUAGUUCAAAGAGUCCAGGAAUAGUUCAAGGCUUGUUACAAAACCCAGCAGUCCUCUGGUUCUCACCCCCACCUCAGCCCCUGCUCUCAGGAGUUCAACUCUGGGACCUGACUCUUCUGUUGUUUAUCUCCAAAUCUCUAAAUAGCAUGUUGCUCUUCCCAAUUUUUCAGUCUUAGGCAUUACCUUUGACUUCUCACGAUAGCAGAAGAGGAUUUGUCCUUCUCAUGCACCCCCACCAUAUGUACAGAGCCCUCCUCCCUUCUCAUAAUGAUAAUUAAAUUUUGAGUAAUAAUUAGUGUUUACAUUAUCAUGACGAUGACGUUAUUGACAGCUGAGGCAUGUACUCCAUGGUUACUUUUUCUUUCCAACACAAUUUUGUUUUCCCUUGUGUUAAUAAUUGUCUUUUUUUGGAGAGGAGGGUGUAGUUUUUUUUGCUUAGAUUUUAUGUAUUUAUCACUUAUUCAUCCUUAAACUCUUCCCCAGAUGUCCAAAUAUAGUUAGGAUAUGUGACCUUGAGCCGGUUGUUUAGCUCUUCUGAUAAAGUAUUUCAUCAUUUAUAGAGUGAAGGGUCCAGAUGACAUGAAGACUUACGCUACCUGUAUCUCUAAAAUUUUAUGGUUCCGUGAAGCAGACAUCUGGAUGUUUUGUACUGAUCACAUCAUCAGGGGACAGCAUUGCCAGCCAGCACACAGCCUUCCUCCCUGACCUGGUAGUCUUUUCUCCUGUUGGCUGGAGCAUCUCUGCUGCCUCCCAGAGGGCCCGUGGGACUCAGGGUCUGGCUGGAAGAAGAGCCCCGUUUGUGUGUGACCAAGACUGCUUGUCAGCAAGACAAGCUUGUCAGGUGUGCCUAAUAAGCUUAGAAAUACCCUCAUUCCAAGAAGAUCAGAGGUCUUGUGAUUAGGGAGACUUACUUGAGUCUUUUGACAGGUACAAGCACUGGUUAUCUUUUGUGGCAAGAGUCAUGGAGAAGCAGAGUGGAUACAUAAAGUGGAUACAUAAAGUUACCAGGGAUGAAAUAAAGACUAAAUGGGAAAUAAGAUAUGAGCAGACAAUAAUUAAAAUCUUGUUUGAAGCAAACAAAAGUAAAACAGAACCCUUGGCAGCAGCUUCUCGCAGGUUGUUAUAUAACGUUGGCGGCAUAAGCACAAAUGUGGUGAUUCUUAGCUUCGUUGGUAUUUUGUUUAGCUCAGUCAUAGACUUGGUAUGGUUGUGAAUAGUGUUGAGAUGUUAUUUUGGGGGAUGUCAUUAUUACUUUAUAUGUUAUGUGGAAGGAAAACUAGCGGAUGGAAUGAGUUUCUACUGAUUUAAUAGAGAAUUUGCCACAGAAGCUGUCAUUCUAGACAGCCAGCACUAGGAGGCCACAGAGACCAGGAUUCUGAUGGACUCAGAUUUAGUCAAGCAUCUUUCCUGUCGGAGUUGAGAAAGAAAUCUAGGGUAAAAAGCCCAGUUGAAACGCUGUAAAAACUUCUUAAAAUUCGGAUCAGAUAAACUAGGGUAAACAGGAGUUAUCCUAUUUUUCAUACUGUAGUAAUAAAUGUAUCUCAAAUAUGCAACACUACUUCUUUAUAUUCUUGUAACGUUGCUUGUAAAUAGAACAAGCAAAGUAUGUAUACUUAUGUAUGACCACCACUUUUUAAAAUUGUAUUUCCGGUUUUUAGUCCUUGAACCCUUGGAUCCAGGCCCUGAUCACCUCACGCCCGGAUGAGUUCAAUAGCUUCCUAAUUGAUCACACUUUUGUCUUGUUUUCUUUCAUUUUAUUCUAGUUAUUGAAAACAAGAGUUUUCAUCAGAAAUCGUUUUGAUCACGUGUCCUCUGAUUAGAAACCUUUGGUAGUUUCCGGUCAAAUAGUAUUUCAAAUCCAAGCCUAUUUAUUCACUCACUCAUUUCUUCCUGCAGCAAAUGUGAGUGAGCGCCUGUAGACAACAAGACAGACAGAUGCUGGGGCAUUCUGUCCUCUCGGGCUUCUUAUUUGCCCCUGCAUUUUCUCAGGAUUCGCCCCUGAGUCUCUUACAGCUAAACACACACUCUCCUCCCCCCCUAAAUAUUUAUCUUUGUGCUUUUAAACGUCAGUCAACCUCUCUGUCAUUUUGUAAUUCUCUUCUUUCAGAAUUGCGUCUGGUUUGUUCACAACCUGCUCUCCGUCCAUUAUUCUGUGAUCUCCCAGCCCGGAAAUACUUAGUUCCUACUACCUUAGUUUCAUUUAAUUUUAGUUUUUCCCUAUUAAAAUUUACAAAUUUAAAUAUGUGUAUGCAGUUGCGUAAGAACAAGGUGGUCUCUUAUUUCUUUGUUUUUCCUGUUGGUCCAACGUAGUAUCCUACAAAAGGGAAAUAUUACCUUAAUGACCGUGGCACACCCUCCCGGCUGCUUUCCCUGUGACCUUUCACCACUCCUUCUUUUCUAAUAGAACUUCAAUUUUGUUCAAAAAUCCAGUCUUCUUUGCAUGUUCGUGUGUUUUGGGGGUAAGCAGGCUUGGGCCUCAGCCUCUGACUGUCUUGAAGGUUCCGUUCUUCAUGACAUUGCACUAGUUUGAGCAAGAGCAUGAGACCCAGUUCUGGCCCGUGGGACAUAAACAGGAGUCUGCUGGGGGGGCUUGGAGAAAGGUUUUCCUCCUUGAGGAAAAAGAGUUACAUGGGUAGUUCUGGCCACUGUGAGCCAAGCUCCAGCCGUCGUGCAGGCAGGCAUGAAGGGAGGUUGUCCAAGCGCCAGUCGCCACGCUUGAAAGAGUAGAAAGACAGAUGGGACUGGUGCCCUGGCUGGCAUGAUUGAGCCAUCUUCCUUGGGAUUUCUUGUUAAGUGAAGAUAACGAAGCUUGGUUGGUUUGGGAUUUUCUCUUACUUGCAGACAAAGGCAUCUGGCUAGCUCCUCAUCCUUCCAGUCUCGGUUUAGAUUCUCCGAUCUCUCACGGGUCCCUGUGCAUCUUCUGUCGUGGACUUGCCUUAGCGUGUCGUAAUAGGUUAUUACUUGUCAGCACCACGAUUGACUACAAGAGCUUUCUCUUGUUCACAGUUGUGUCCUUAGACACUAACAUAGUACCUGAUGACCGAUUAGUUUUUAAUAUCUGUAUUUAGUCAUACUAUCCUGAAAGUACACCCAGGUUUCUGGGGCAGGGCGAUUGUUACUUACAGCAUAACCUAAGACGAGAGACUCUGAGUUUAUAACCCUUGGAAUAUCUCCAUGGCCCCGGUUUCAUCACACUUCGGAAACGUAAACACAUACCUCUGGGGAGAUAAAUCUCUUACUAUCUAUUCACUUAUCUUUUAAGUUUUAAGGCUUGCCCGCUAACCCAGGUCCCAGUAAAAUUUGCCCAAAAGCUCCAACUGUGCAGAAGAAUAAAAAUAUUCACUUGCUGAUAGUGACAUAGUAGGUACUCAAUAAACUGUUAAAUGUUUAACAAACUAAAAAAAAGAAUAACUCUAACUCACUGAUCUCAGCUGGGGCAGGGAUCGGGGGCUUUGGCUGUGGGGUGGGGGAAAGUGUAGCAGAAUCAUCGGGGGGAAUUUGUUUUAUCAACGAUGUCCUUCCCACCCCAAGAUUCUCACACGCUCCUGUUGUUACUGUCAUAUUCCUUAGGGGAAUCUUUCUGUGUGUGUAUGUGGCCAAAAAAGAUGAGAACCCCAACAUAGCCCGUCCAGUGAUGGAAUCCCCUCUGUAGCUUUUCCCAUUUAAGUAAAUAAUGGGACUGAUUCUCUUGACACCUGAUCCCAGGGCUGCUGUGUCCGUGUUUAUGCUUAUUUCAGCUGAUUCUUCUAUUUUGUGUUUACUUACAUGGAUUUGGGAUUUGUUUGUUAAAAGAUGUUUCUUUCUUUUGCUGAUAGUUUGCCUUUUUUCAGAGAGGGUUUGAGGCAACUCUACAGCAAAAAUAUGUAAAACAAAAUGGCACAGAAACAGGAAAUCAGGACUGAGAAAAAGAUUAAAAUGUGUCGAUAGAUUUUAAUUCAGAUUUGCUUCUGGUUUUUUAUUGUCACCUAAGGCAAAAUGGCAAAUAUCAUCAGUUAUGUUCACGGUUCUUAACAUUUUCGUGUAAGUCACAAACCCCUCUGAUGAAAUCUAUGGAUCUUCUUCUGAAAGAGUGGACACACACACAAAGUCAAUUUUGCUAGAAUUUGGGGCCCGUCCUUCCCCCACUGAGGAUUGAUGGAAACUUUUGUUAUCAGAGAAGAUGAAACACACCCCUUUGUUAGGAAGGGAAAAAAUAGUGUUAGUAUUAGGUUCUAAAAAAUUUAUUUCUGUAAUAAAAUAUGUCGGACAUAAGGAAAAAUAGACUAAACUAUCAAAAACUCACCAUCAGUUUUAUAUUAUUUCCUUUCAUUUUUUUUUAAGUAAUAAAAUGUCGUAGACAAAAGAGAAGCUUCCUGUUUAGCGUUUUUGGAUCUCUUUCGCCCCUCUUGGUCCUUAGUAGAAACCACUAUCCUGAAUUUAGUGUUUACAAUUCCACACACAUUUUAUACUUUUACUGCCUUUGUAUACACCUGUCGCAUUGUGUAUAUAACAUUAUUUUAUGAUCUCAAACUUUAUAUAAAUAUGUUCCUGUCUGUAGUCUUCUUCAACUUUUUUCACCUGUUUUUUUUCUUUAUUGUGGUAAAAAACACAUAACAUGAUAUCUUCCUCCUUAACAAAUUUCUACAUGUGCAGUACAUUAUUGAUAACUAUAUGCACAGUUUUGCACAGCAGAUCUCUAGUACUUUUUAUUUUCUUUGAACAGGGGUUUUUUAAAGUUUUAUUUCAUGCAUUAUUCACAACUCUGCAGUGGUUUCAGAAAGCCGAUGUAUAUCCUGGACGCAAAGAAAUGAAAAACCACAAAAACAAAGACAUGGUUUUCGUAUUGUUGAUUGGGAGUUUAAUACUAUUGUGCAUGGAUUUCAUCUUUUUUUUUUAAUUGAGGUAACAUUGGUUUAUAACAUUAUAUAAAUUUCAGGUGCACAUCAUUAUAUUUCCAUUUCUAUGUAGAUUACAUCAUGUUCACCACCGAGAGACUGAUUGUCUCAUCACCACACGCAUGUGCCCUGUUGCCGCUUUCGCCCUCCUCCCUCCCACGUUCCCCUCUGGCAACCACCAAUCCAUUCUCUGUCUCUGUGUGAUUGUUUGUUGUUUUUACCUUCUAUUUAUGAGUGAGAUCAUAUAGUAGUUAAUUCUGACAAUUUCGCUUAGCAUAAUACCCUCAGGGUCCAUCCAUGUUGUCACAAAUGGCCAGAUUUCAUUGUUUUUUAUGAAUGAGUAGUAGUCCAUUGUGUAUAUAUACCACAGCUUCUUUAUCCAUUCAUCUCUUGAUGGACACCUAGGUUGCUUCCAAGUCUUGGCUAUUGUGAAUAAUGCUGCGAUGAACAUAGGGGUGCAUGUAUCUUUACGCAUUCAUGUUCUCAUGUUCUUUGGAUAAAUGCCCAGCAGUGGAAUAGCUGGAUCAUAUGGUAGUUGUAUUCUUAACAUUUUGAGGAAUCUCCAUACUGUUUUCCUGUCAUAGUGGCUACCCCAGUUUGUACUCCCACCAGCAGUGUAUAAGAGUUCCCUUCUCUCCACAUCCUCUCCAACACUUAUUUCCUCUCUUGUUAAUUAUAGCCAUCCUGACGGGAGUGAGGUGAUAUCUCGUUGUAGAGUUUCGAUUUGCAUUUCCCUGAUAGUUAGUGAUGUUGAACAUCCUUUCAUAUGCCUCUUGACCAUCUGUAUAUCUUCUUUGGAGAAAUGUCUGUUCAGAUCUUUUGCCUGUUUGUUAAUUGGGUGAUUAGUUUUUUUGUUGUUGAGAUGUAUGACUUCUUUAUAUAUUUUGCGUAUUAACCCCUUAUCAGAUAUAUAGUUUGCAAAUAUUUUCUCCAAAUUGUUAGGUUGUCUUUUUGUUUUAUUGAUGUUUCCUUUGCUGUGCAGAAGCUUUUUAGUUUGAUGUAGUCCCAUUUGUUUAUUUUUUCUAUUGUUUCCCUUGCCCAGUCAGACAUGGUACUUGAAAAUAUGCUGCUAAGACCGGUAUCUAAGAGUGUACUGCCUAUGUUUUCUUCUAGAAUUUUUAUGGUUUCGGGUCUUACACUCAAGUCUUUAAUCCAUUUUGAGUUAAUUUUUGUGUAUGGUGAAAGAUAACUGUCUACUUUCAUUCUUUUGCAUGUGGCUGUCCAGUUUUCCCAACACCAUUUAUUGAAGAGACUUUCCUUUCUCCAUUGUAUAUUCUUGGCUCCUUUGUCAAAAAUUAGCUGUCCACAGAUGUGUGGGUUUAUUUGUGGCCUCUCAGUUCUGUUCCAUUGAUCUGUGUAUCUGUUUUUGUGCCAGUACCAUGCUGUUUUGGUUACUGUUGCUUUGUUGUAUAUUUUGAAAUCAGGGAGUGUAAUACCUCCAGCUUUGUUCUUUUUUCUCAAGAUUCCUUUGGUUGUUUGGGGUCUUUUGUUGUUCUAUGUAAAUUUUAGGAUUCUUUGUUCUAUUUCUGUGGAAAACGUUGGAGCUUUCAUAGGGAUUUCAUUGAAUCUGUAGAUUGCUUUAGGGAGUAUGGACUCUUUAACUAUGUUAAUUCUUACAAUCCAAGAGCAUGGGAUAUCUUUCCAUUUCUUUGCAUCUUCC